rnacentral:tRNA from 1 species
GACAGACUAGCUCAUGUGGAUAGAGCGUCAGCCUCCGGAGCUGAAGGCGGCGGGUUCGAAUCCCGCGUCUGUCA